rnacentral:misc_RNA from 1 species
AUGAAGAACGUAGCGAAAUGCGAUAAGUAAUGCGAAUUGCAGAAUUCAGUGAGUCAUCGAAUCUUUGAACGCACAUUGCGCCCCUCGGUAUUCCGUGGGGCAUGCCUGUUCGAGCGUCAUUUACCCCUCAAGCACUGCUUGGUGUUGGGCGUCUGUCCCGCUUCGCGCGCGGACUCGCCCCAAAGGUAUUGGCAGCGGUCGUGCCAGCUUCUCGCGCAGCACAUUGCGCUUCUCGAGGCGGUCGAUCGGCGUCCACGAAGCUCACCUCCACCGUUUGACCUCGGAUCAGGUAGGGAUACCCGCUGAACUUAAGCAUAUCAAUAAGCGGAGGA